rnacentral:misc_RNA from 1 species
UUUAGGGAGACCUAAUCCACUCAAAUAUCGAAAAACAAUCAGUUAAAUAGAUAUUGAGUUGGUCUAUCCUAGGUCGGUCGAGAUUGGUAAAAGCUUUCAAAGUAUUUUGAGUUCGGUUUAAAAAUCAUAAAAACUACUGGGAAUAGUGUUCAGCAACAUGGCAAUCGCCAGACUGCUGGAUAUUGUCCAGCCAGAACCUUGAAAACUGCAUAGUAACGCGAUUUAAAGCAGGCAGACGAAUCGGAGUACUGAGUGCUGAGUGCUGAGUGCUGAGUAAAAUCAGUGUGAAUCACAAAGUAAACAGAACUUUGAAGAAGUUUGCAGUGGUGAACACCAAAUGUAUAGU